AAUCAACGCUGGCGGCGUGCCUAACACAUGCAAGUCGAACGAGAAAGGGGAGCAAUCCCUGAGUACAGUGGCGCACGGGUGAGUAACACGUGAAUGAUCUACCUCUGAGUGGGGGAUAACCUAGGGAAACCUGGGCUAAUACCGCAUAAUACCUACGGGUCAAGGCGAGCAAUCGCGCUUAGAGAGGAGUUCGCGGCAGAUUAGCUAGUUGGUGAGGUAAUGGCUCACCAAGGCGAUGAUCUGUAUCCGGCCUGAGAGGGCGCACGGACACACUGGAACUGAAACACGGUCCAGACUCCUACGGGAGGCAGCAGUGGGGAAUUUUGCGCAAUGGGGGAAACCCUGACGCAGCAACGCCGCGUGGAGGAUGAAGUCCCUUGGGACGUAAACUCCUUUCGAUCGGGACGAUAAUGACGGUACCGGAAGAAGAAGCCCCGGCUAACUUCGUGCCAGCAGCCGCGGUAAUACGAGGGGGGCGAGCGUUGUUCGGAAUUAUUGGGCGUAAAGGGUGCGUAGGCGGUUUGACAAGUCUUGUGUGAAAUCUCUGGGCUCAACCCAGAGGCUGCACAGGAAACUGUCGGGCUUGAGGAUGGGAGAGGUGAGUGGAAUUUCCGGUGUAGCGGUGAA
rnacentral:rRNA from 1 species